AACGAACGCUGGCGGCAUGCCUAACACAUGCAAGUCGAACGAGACCUUCGGGGCUAGCUGCUCACGGUGGGUUAACGCGUGGUAACCUGCCCUUAGGUUCGGAACAAGGUCGCGGAGGGGGUGCAAAUACCGCGAUAUGUCUUCGCACAAAAUAUUUAUCGUCUCUGGAUAGGCCCGCGUUGGAUUAGCUAGCUGGACUGGUAAAAGCCUACCAAGGCUACGAGCCAGCGCUGGUCUGAGAGGAUGAUCAGCAACACUGGGACUGAGACACGGAGCAGACUUCUACGGGAGGCAGCAGUGGGGAAUAUUGGACAAUGGGCGAAAGAAUGAUCCAGCAAUGCCGCAUGAGUGAUGAAGGACUUAGGGUUGUAAAGCUCUUUUACCCGGGAAGAUAAUGACAGUACCGGGAGAAAAAGCUCCGGCUAACUCCGUG
rnacentral:rRNA from 1 species